CAAUAGCGUAUAUUUAAGUUGCUGCAGUUAAAAAGUUCGUAGUUGGAUUUCGGGUGGGAAUGGCCGGUCCGCCGUUUCGGUGUGCACUUGCUACGCCCACCUUGCUGCCGGGGACGUGCUCUUGAGUUCACGCUCGGGACACGGAGUCGGCGAGGUUACUUUGAGUAAAUUAGAGUGUUCAAAGCAGGCCUACGCUCUGAAUACAUUAGCAUGGAAUAACACGAUAGGACUCUGGCCUAUCUUGUUGGUCUGUAGGACCGGAGUAAUGAUUAAGAGGGACGGUCGGGGGCAUUCGUAUUUCAUUGUCAGAGGUGAAAUUCUUGGAUUUAUGAAAGACGAACUACUGCGAAAGCAUUUGCCAAGGAUGUUUUCAUUAA
rnacentral:rRNA from 1 species